AUAGGAACGAUCAAUUCUACUUGGCUACAAAAGGUGGAAUAAUACUUCUACAAGGGAUGAUUCCAAACACUGACAUGGUCAUAAGGAGCAACACAGUAUCAAUCCAGCUAAUGAAUUCACCUGGUGCUCAAAUUAGUCAAGUUCGUAAUGUUAUAUGUCAACAGAAUGACAACCAUACAACACUGUACAGGCAUUUGGGGAACCAAGUAGUCGCUGUUCUCAUGUAUGCAAGGUGUACAGGAGUAUAAUGAACCAUUUAUUGGUAGGUUUAUAUGUUGGAUAUUCCACGACCAUAGAAUUUUGUGCACGGCUUCAACAAUAUAUUAUUAUUAUGUUUAUGCUAUACUGCUUUUAAAUUACUUUAACUCUGUCUUAUUUGGCGGAAUUCAGGCAUUUCAAGUUGAAGAAUCUAGAAUAUUUUUCUGCUAUCAAAGCUUGGAUAAUGCACUUGAUAAAUCACAAGCCAGAUCUAAUUUCCAUCGUACUAUAUUAUCAUAUGCAGAGGGUUACUAUUAUCUAAGAUAAUGACACUUAACACUAUAAUAUGUUUUUAAAGUUGAUUAUUAGUUCUCUUUAUAAUUUUAAUAAUGUAUUAUAUAUUUUUUGGCUAUGUAUUAAGGACUUAACUCUUAUAUAGGUCGUAAAUGGUAACAAAAACAGUGCAUUUGUAAUUCUGAUGUAGUUCUGUUAUUUUUUAUGUUAGGAUCGUCAAUCAUGUGAUGAUGAAACGAUGCCAUUGGAUGAAACAUUAUGCUCAUCUCUUGAAGUUGGAGUGCCUCUAACCGUUGGAUGUGAAAAUUGAUUGACUUUUGGUCUUUGCUAACAAAUUUAACGGGAUUCAAGGUAUGUUAACUAAUUAAGUAAUUAAGCUUAAUGUUUGCUGUCUUUUUAUUAUUUUAUUCCUUCUUAUGUUUCGGUAAAAUAAGAAGCCAUACACUUUCAAGCCAUGAAAUCACCAAAUAAACCUCUGCCUCUUGAAAAGAGAAAAGCUUAAGGAAAUGCUCUGCCGAUGGGCAUAUAUAUAUUUGUGUGGUAUUUAUUUGUUAGCAUGGAAUAAACAACUUAUACAACAUUAUAUUUUUAUUUUUAUGAAUGUGUUGUGGAUUCAAAAUUUGGGUUAGCUUCAGUUUAAUGCAUCAAAGUAAAGAGAUUUUUCUUGCAAAAAUCAGAUCAAGUUGAUAAGGGCCUUAGCUUUAGCAUGGGAUAAACAACUUAUACAACAUUAUAUUUUUAUUUUUAUGAAUGUGUUGUGGAUUCAAAAUUUAGGUUAGCUUCAUUUUAAUGCAUCAAAGUGAAGAGAUUCUUCUUGCAGAAAUCGGAUCAAGUUUAUAAGGGUCGCGCGAACAAGGGUCCCCGUUUUGUUUUUUGAAUCCGUGUUCUGCAUAUAUGUUUUUCGAGAACACAUGUAGUGAUCAUAAUCUGUACAACAUCAAUUGCAGGAAUGAAUCGAAAUAUCGUCACAAUGCCGGCAAUUGCAGGUAAAUGUGUUGAAGAUGAUGAUAUGAUUCAAGAGAAUCUGAUUAACGAGAGUGCUUUAUUGCAAAUAGUUUUGGUUUCGCAUACAAG
rnacentral:lncRNA from 1 species